ACCCUGGACUGUGUCAUCGCUAACUGCGGAGACAUUUCGACGCCAACACACGGUGACGUCACCUGUACAGGUACGACGUACGGUGAGACGUGCCAUCUCACCUGUCAUGACGGUUACGAACGGCUGACCCGAGACAACUUCACCUGCCAGGUUUACAGAAACAAAGCCACCUGGAGUGGGGAACCAGAGUGCAUUCCAGUGAAUUGUAGAGCUCCUCCCGAGUUCCCCAACACCGCCCUCCAGUGCGCCAGCGGACACACCUACGGGAACACCUGCGGAGUCACCUGUGCGGACAGGUACAACAGAACGAACCUCCAGAUCGUGACUUGUCACAGUACCGGCAACUGGAGCUUACAGC